rnacentral:rRNA from 1 species
AUUGAACGCUGGCGGCAGGCCUAACACAUGCAAGUCGAACGAGCGGCGGACGGGUGAGUAAUGUCUGGGAAUCUGCCUGAUGGAGGGGGAUAACUACUGGAAACGGUAGCUAAUACCGCAUACUAUCAGAUGAACCCAUCUGGGAUUAGCUAGUUGGUGGGGUAAAGGCUCACCAAGGCGACGAUCCCUAGCUGGUCUGAGAGGAUGAACAGCCACACGGGAACUGAGACAAGGGCCAGACUCCUACGGGAGGCAGCAGUGGGGAAUAUUGCACAAUGGGCGCAAGCCUGAUGCAGCCAUGCCGCGUGUAUGAAGAAGGCCUUCGGGUUGUAAAGUACUUUCAGCGGGGAGGCGUUACCCGCAGAAGAAGCACCGGCUAACUCCGUGCCAGCCGCCGCGGUAAUAC